UACGUAGGGUGCAAGCGUUGUCCGGAAUUAUUGGGCGUAAAGAGCUCGUAGGCGGUCUGUCGCGUCGGCUGUGAAAACCCGAGGCUCAACCUCGGGCCUGCAGUCGAUACGGGCAAACUAGAGUACUGCAGGGGAGACUGGAAUUCCUGGUGUAGCGGUGAAAUGCGCAGAUAUCAGGAGGAACACCGGCGGCGAAGGCGGGUCUCUGGGCAGUAACUGACGCUGAGGAGCGAAAGCGUGGGGAGCGAACAGG
rnacentral:rRNA from 1 species